rnacentral:rRNA from 1 species
UCAAGCAGCGGGGGGGAAGGGGGGGAAGUAGGUAGGUGGAAAGGGGUGGCCGGAAGUAUUGGGCGUAAAGCGCGCGCAGGCGGGUCUUUAAGGCAGAUGUGAAAGCCCACGGGUCAACCGUGGAGGGGCAUUGGAAACUGGGGGACUUGAGUGCAGAAGAGGAAAGCGGAAUUCCACGUGUAGCGGUGAAAUGCGUAGAGAUGUGGAGGAACACCAGUGGCGAAGGCGGCUUUCUGGUCUGUAACUGACGCUGAGGCGCGAAAGCGUGGGGAGCAAACAGGAUUAGAUACCCUAGUAGUC